rnacentral:lncRNA from 1 species
CCUUAAACUCAACUCCAUCGACCCAACCUCACACGGAAAAUCACCUACGGCCACCAGAGGUGUCCUCAAGGGAGCAUCAGGGCCGUGGAGCGGGUUUUGAGACGCUGGAUUUUUUUUCCUAAAGCCCAAAUACAAACAAUAAACCCGCUUUGCGCUUUGAAGACUGUGCGGGGUCUGGACGCUGCGCACUGGCUGCAGCCCGGGCUGCGCACGGCUCCUAAUUCCUCUGACCGGGCUAAUUCUCCCUGCGAGGGGAGCUCCGUACCUUUGAAACGGACACGUCUGCUUUUUGCACAUGCCACGAAAAAUCCUACUUUAAAGCAUCCGAUUAUGAACUCUGCUCUGUGCCCGGGCAAGAGGCUGAAAGAAUUAAGGAAAGAAAGUUCCUGAAACCAACCCGAACCGUAAGAAGUUGGGGCCGCAUAUGCAUUUUUUUUUUUUUUUUUUUUUUACAGCCAGGGGUGUGUAUGUGUGUGUGCCUGUGUGUGUAAGGAUAGUGGGGCCACAGUUUUCUCCAUGCUGAAAAUAUCUUGGGUUGGGAGGAGAUACCCAGACGCACACUCCAAACUUGGGCAGUGUUUUAAAUCAGAGAAGCAAUUUAAUCUACACUCUGCGAAUCAAUUGAGCGGCGACUGCGGCGCAAAAGCGUCUUGGUAGAUGCGGAACCGCAAAUAUACCUUAUGCAUGCAGAAUCCGCGGAUCUAAUCUUUAACAUCUUAAAAAUGAGGGCUAUUACCGGGGCGACUGACUCCUCAACAGACACAUUUCAUAGACUUCUGCGUGGUGAUUGCUUUGUGUGAAAUCGUGUUUGGGUGAUAAUAGGGAAAAUCAGCGGCGUGUUUACUGCAUUUCCGACCUAAGCGCUGGCGGGCAGCCUGUGGACGCUCCUGGUCCUCCCAUGCUGAGCGGUGCGUGCGGGGCCGACAAACAAUCGCUUAGCAACACGAGGCGGGCAAUUUGCGUGCGUCCUAUUUGUUAUUCCAAUUGCACCAGGCAAGGCGAGGCCGCUGAUUGUUUGUUUAGCGCUUUGCGGACACUAGUGGGU